GGGAGGGGGAAGAAAGUGUGGGGAAGAGCGAGUGGAGGAGACAGAAAGAGAGGAAAAAAAGAGAGGGGGAAGAGAGACAGAAGGAAGGGCAAGGGAUGGGCCUGAGCCUGUCAGCAGCCUGAGGGGAACGAGCAGCCAUGGCAGCAUUAGCAGCAAGGAAGGGACCAGUCAACCACUGCUGCUGUUUGGGGCUACCAAGGCCAUUGUCAGAGGGAGGGAGGCAGGCAAGAGAUGGGCCCGGGCCUGUCAGCAGCCUCAGGGGAAUGAGCAGCCCUAGUCAACCACUGCUGCUGCUUCUGGGGGGAGGAGCAGGAACGGGGCUCUGGUGAGGGUGGGGAGGUCUCUGGGGAUAGGGGGCUGCAGCUUGGCCAAGAGGCAGCAGCAAUGCUGCAGCCACGACCAAGAAGGGUGAGGGAGGUGGAAGCAACAGGAUGAAGGAGGAUCAGGAGUGCAGCUCAGGUGAGGGUGGGAAGAUCUCUGAUGUGAGGGGAGCAAUCAAGUACUAACGUGCAGAUGCUCUAGAGUUCCAGCAUUGAAGCGGAGAGAAAUAAUGGCAGUGAUCAGGAUGCAGAGGUGGAGGGCCGACAGGCGAAGACCCUCCAGCCAGAAGAGGAGGGCCGACAGGCGAAGCCCCUUCAGCCAGAAGAGGUGUGCCAUGGAAUGUGCAUCCCGGCAAGCCAUCUGAUUGGCUGGGGUGCAGGCCAAUGGCAGCGGCGGGCUGGCCUGCUGGCCCUGGGACUGGCUGGCACUGGGAGGCAAACAGCGGCUACGGAGGUGUGCGGCGGGCCGCAGAACCGGUACUCGGCCCCGGCUGUGGAGGAUCAUUAUCAUCUUCUUCAUGUCUAGCACAUUGGAUCCAACAGGACUUACUCUAAGGGAAGAAUAGAGUAUAGAAUUCUAGCCUCAGUUAACAAGACAUUGAAAUGAAGAAGAUUAAACUCAGAGAUCAUGGACUUCCAGAAAUGCUACAGCUAAAACAAGACUCUGAAUUUCCUGUUUAUUCUACAAUCAGUACCCCAUGCACUUGGGAGGCAGUGUGGUGUAGUGGUUAGAGUGUUAGGCUAGGAUUGGGAACACCUAGCCAUGAAGCUCACUGUGGGACCUUAGGCCAAAUAUUGUCUCUCAUCCUUUCCUGCCUCCAAGGAUUGUUAUCAGAAUAAAUUGUGGCAGGGAAUCAUAUACCCUGCCCUGAGCUCCGUGGAGGAAGAGUAGAACAUAAAUGUCAUAAAUAGUAAAAUACCCAUAUAUGUGUGUAUUUAGGACUGUCUUUAGAUUUUGUGGGGGCCCUCUGUGAAACAGUGGUAUCUUAUAUUCAGUGUAGGGACAAUUGCUCUCUCUGUGCAUCUCAACACAGCAUCUCUCCAGUGGCUGUUCCUGGUUCUUUCUUUGGGAUAGGGUAACAUCUUCUAGUUCAUUUGUUAUGGAAACUACUUGGAGAAGUUGUUGUUGUUGCUUUUGAAAAGCAGUGUAUAUAUGUAUGUAUGUAUUUUUUAUCAUUAUCAUCAUCAUUAUCAUUAUUAUUGUUGUUGUUAUAUUUAAUGUUCUGUCCCAUAUGCAGCGGGGAAAUGCUUGACAAACAAGCAGAAGGUUGUCAGUUUGAAUCCCUGCUGGUACUAUAUCGGGCAGCAGCGAUAUAGGAAGAUACUGAAAGGCAUCAUCUCAUACUGCACAGGAGGAGGCAAUGGUAAACCUCUCCUGUAUUCUACCAAAGAAAACCACAUGGCUCUGUGGGUGCAAGGAGUCGAAAUUGACUUGACAGCACACUUUACCUUUUACCCAUACAGCAAUUCUUUAAAAUAGUCAAAGAACCUGUUAUGUGUCAAUAGGCAUUGUUCUUUUAAAAAAAUAAUUGUCUCUAGCACCUAGUGAGCUCUUGUGUUUGUUUUCAGUCUGAAGAAUGACAGACACCCAGCUUUUUUUAAAAAAAAAUAUAUUUAUAACUUAAGAGUACAUUCUUACAAAGGAUAUACACACACAAUCUUACAUGCUGGUCAUGGGACAAGACCACAAGCAGCCCUACCCAUCUUUAGUGCCCCAGGCUCUUCAAGCCUUAAUCCAGCGCUCCUCCCUAAUUUUGAUUGGAGAGUUAAGCACCCUCCCAUUGAGUUUAAUAGGUCAAUAGUACUUAACAUUGACUUGAUCAUGCCCCAGAUUGGUGUGGUCAGAAUGCGAAGGUCAUGCAAUUGCUUCAGCAUGUUCCCCAGCUUCGCCUAUAUUUACUAUGAAUUGCACACAAUUCCUGGUUCCUUUUCUUUCAGUCUUCAUGUAUAUUGCUUUGUUCAGAUUUGGUUCUGUUUCAUCUUUAGAUCUAUUUUCUUAUAAAUGUACUGAGUACAAGUGAAUCAUAGAAUAGAAAAUACAAGA